UACGUAGGGGGCAAGCGUUGUCCGGAAUCAUUGGGCGUAAAGCGCGCGUAGGCGGUCCGAUAAGUCGGCUGUGAAAGUCGAGGGCUCAACCCUCGAAUGCCGGUGGAUACUGUCGGGCUUGAGUACGGGAGAGGCGAGUGGAAUUCCUGGUGUAGCGGUGAAAUGCGCAGAUAUCAGGAGGAACACCGAUGGCGAAGGCAGCUCGCUGGGACGUGACUGACGCUGAGACGCGAAAGCGUGGGGAGCAAACAGG
rnacentral:rRNA from 1 species